rnacentral:rRNA from 1 species
AUUGAACGCUGGCGGCAUGCCUUACACAUGCAAGUCGAACGGCAGCACGGGUGCUUGCACCUGGUGGCGAGUGGCGAACGGGUGAGUAAUACAUCGGAACAUGUCCUGUAGUGGGGGAUAGCCCGGCGAAAGCCGGAUUAAUACCGCAUACGAUCUACGGAUGAAAGCGGGGGACCUUCGGGCCUCGCGCUAUAGGGUUGGCCGAUGGCUGAUUAGCUAGUUGGUGGGGUAAAGGCCUACCAAGGCGACGAUCAGUAUAUGGUCUGAGAGGACGACCAGCCACACGGGGACUGAGACACGGCCCAGACUCCUACGGGAGGCAGCAGUGGGGAAUUUUGGACAAUGGGCGAAAGCCUGAUCCAGCAAUGCCGCGUGUGUGAAGAAGGCCUUCGGGUUGUAAAGCACUUUUGUCCGGAAAGAAAUCCUUGGCUCUAAUACAGUCGGGGGAUGACGGUACCGGAAGAAUAAGCACCGGCUAACUACGUG